GCUGGGUGUGGUGGCGCAUGCCUGUAAUCCCAGCUACUCGGGAGGCUGAGGCAGGAGAAUCGCUUGAACCCGGGAGGUGGAGGCUGCAGUGAGCCGAGAUGGCGCCACUGCACUCCAGCCUGGGCGACAGAGCGAGACCCCAUCUCAA
ensembl:misc_RNA Metazoa_SRP Metazoan signal recognition particle RNA